UGGGUGGACGAGGACGACAUCGUCUCCCACAUCUUGGCCGGGCUCGAUGAAGAUUUCGACCCGGUGGUGUCCACCAUGUGUUCCCGGGAGGAGCCGGUGAUCGUGGCCGAGCUGUUUUCACAACUGCUAAGCUUCGAAA
rfam:Triticum urartu cultivar G1812 contig890047, whole genome shotgun sequence.